UGUACGAGUAAGUCUUCUGUGUUACUCUCACCCCUGUCUGAUUGCCAUCUCACCUCACCCUGGUUUGUCUCAGUUGCAAUGCCACUGAAAUCAACAGCGUGACAUUAGGGUCAGAGUGAAAAUGAAAAGACAAAAAACAAUGCAACAAUUUUUCCACUCAAAGGCCUCAAAAAACAAGCCAAGGUGAAGAACACAUCAAGAACCAAGAAUAUAUCAACAUGUCAUCCAAAGGUUCAAGUGGUGUAUCUGCAUCCGACCAGCACAAAUCCAGCUACCUACUGAAGAAACAGUGUCUCCAAAACCUAAAGGCCGUUCCUGAUCUUUGUCGGUCAAAGUGUUCCCAUUUAUUAAAGU